rnacentral:lncRNA from 1 species
AUGCACCAAAACACUCCAGCAAAGCUCGUUUUGCUCUUGUGUCCCUGCAGGUCCCAGCACAGCUCCCGUCCCUCGGGGAUUUGUGGGAGCAGCAGUUUGGAUCUGAUAAUGUGGAAUUAUCGCUGCUCCCUGUGUUUCAGCACGAGGUACAAGGGCAGUGUUGACUUCACUCUUCCAGGGGGAAAAAAGUGUGGAUUUAUCUUGGCUGAAUAAUUCAUGGCUCCCUGGAUGUGAUCCUGAUGCACUGCAGCUUUUCCCACUGCAGGGCUGACUUCUCCAGGCUGCUGUAGCUGCAGGGCAUUGAUCUGGAUGAAAUGGAAACACAACUUGGAGACAAAAAAAACCCCAAAAUUUAACCAGGAGAUGAGGAGAGAUGAGAAAGGGCAGAAAGAGGCUGAGGCUGCAGCUGGAUCCGGUUCAUUCCUGCUUUUCUUUGGGAUGUGCAGCGCUGUUGCCUGUCCUCUCCUGGUUCUCCCAGCUGGUGUUUUCAGCCCUUGCUUGGCUGACAGAAGAUGAGUGGAAUGAGAACAAUUUCUGAUGUCAGGGAACGCCCUGAAACCUGUUCAGAGGCUGCUGAACUCCUGGGUGUCAAUCCAGCAAAACAAAACCACCAGGGAAAACACGAGACAAAACCCAGCUGAGCAAAGGUUGGUGCCUUGUGGAAGAAAAGGUGGAGAUUUCUGUAGCAAAAAUUUUAAAAAAAGAGUAUUAAUUUAAUGCAAAUUAAAAAUUAAUUCAAAUGAAACAGUUCAAAGGAACCACUGUGAUGCUUCCCCAGCUACAAAGAACAAGAGGUCCCAGUGAAAAUUUGCCAUUUGAAGCUGCCCAUCCAGAGAAUUUAUCAGAGCCAAAUGUCAGGAGUUGAAGUCAAGACCACGUAGGGGAUGAAAAACCUGAGGGCAUUAUUGGUUUUUAGGUCUGAUAGUCAAGAGGGUCUGGAAGAUUUAUUAUUUUAAAUAAUUCCAAGUGAAAAAUGGAAGUAGCACGUGAGAGGCCGAGUACCUGCCACCAAAAUGGGGUGGUGAUCCCAAAACCUCCCCUCACCCAUCCUUUCUGGUGGAAACCACAGCUUGAUUCCUGAAUAAUUUGAGUAGCUGUUGUAAACACGAGCCCUUGAAAUAAUUUUUGGAUUGCUGGAUUUAUUAGCCCCCAUCUGGAAUUAAUCUCGUCUUAAGAUAGGAAUUCUCCUCAGAGAAAUAACGCAGUUUAAUUUUUAAAAUGUGGAUGUGAUCAUAUUAAUUUUAUACUCAUUUCAUACUCACUUUAUACUCACUUCAUACUCAUUUUAUUGUCCUACUCUGAUCAUUUGAGCUUUCUCAAUGCCAAUAAAUAACUGGGUUUUCUUGUAACGCUUUCA